rnacentral:tRNA from 1 species
AGAGCAUAACUCAGUGGUAGAGUGCGUGCUUAGCAUGCACAAGGUCCUGGGUUCAAUCCCCAGUACCUCUG